CUAGGUGGCUAUAGAGAGAGGGAAACGCCUGGUCCCAUUCCGAACCCAGAAGCUAAGCCUCUCAUCGCUGAUAAUACUGCAGGUUUCACCUGUGGAAAUGUAGGUCGCUGCCUAGU
rnacentral:rRNA from 1 species